UGGGGAAUAUUGCACAAUGGAGGGAACUCUGAUGCAGCGACGCCGCGUGAACGAAGAAGGCUUUCGAGUCGUAAAGUUCUUUUAUAUGGGAAGAUAAUGACGGUACCAUAAGAAAAAGCCCCGGCUAACUACGUGCCAGCAGCCGCGGUAAUACGUAGGGGGCUAGCGUUGUCCGGAAUCACUGGGCGUAAAGGGUUCGCAGGCGGAAAUGCAAGUCAGGUGUAAAAGGCAGUAGCUUAACUACUGUAAGCAUUUGAAACUGCAUAUCUUGAGAAGAGUAGAGGUAAGUGGAAUUUUUAGUGUAGCGGUGAAAUGCGUAGAUAUUAAAAAGAAUACCGGUGGUGAAGGCGGCUUACUGGGCUCAUUCUGACGCUGAGGAACGAAAGCGUGGGUAGCAAACAGG
rnacentral:rRNA from 1 species